rnacentral:lncRNA from 1 species
CGUUAUGAGUACUAGGUUUGGAGUCAACCAGUCAACAGUGUCCCUGUGUGGAGCUUCCGUCGAAAGCGUUGUUUUCUUAUUGCUAUCAUUUUUGUAUAAGACUAUGUGAAUUAUUAUGUUCCGCUAUGUAAUAAACACUGCAAUGGUACAUUUGAGAUUUGUCUACUUAUGUGUGCGACUGUUUCUGGGGCACAUGUGAGUCUUUUAUGCAUCCUAUUUUGUUCUUAAAAUAUGGGUGUGAC